UCGGAUCGAUGUCAGGCAAUGGAGAUUGAGGUAUUGUUUUAGAGCGCCACCUAACUAUUUGGAGGUUGAUAUUUAUGACACAAACUUUAGUCUACUUUACAUGAGUGUUGAUUAUCUUGAAACUUAAAAUAUAAAAGAUUGGGAAGAGCAGUAUCAAUCCAAUGUUAAUGUCAAAACCCUAGUUCUAUGUCCUGGGCGAGAUUUCUCGUGACAUCACGUUAUUACAGAUUCUACCUCCAGACACCAGAGAGUUAACUAGGAGAAGAUCAUUUAAAUUUUCCACUUGACUGGCAAGGAAGUAAUGGAAGAAUAAUUAAUCCCGCGUGAUUUAGCGUGAAAAAACGUUUUUGACAUCAAGAUUCAAGAACCGGACAUAGUUCUGCUUUAAUCUAGAGUUUGUUUGUCUCUUGGCCUUUUCUUCUGUUCGAUUUCAGAAAUUGGCCAGAGACGGUCCCGAUUGUGAAUAAUUUGGUUUAAUGUGAUUCACGGUAUGAAAUCGUGUUAUUGUGAUGUUCCGUCUAGGAUCAACGAGACCAUAAUGUACUUGUAAUUACCCAAUAUCUCUCUUGUUAAAGUUUCAAAGGCACAAAAUCUAUUUUUGCUGGACGAUAUGGAUCCUCGGCGUUUCAAUAGGUUAUAAUAUAUUGGUUUUAAUUGCCAGAUUCCAUUGCAGAGAGUCUAUUCACAAAUUAUUAAAUCGCGAUCAGUUGGAUUGGCAAGCAUUGCACAUCAAUUUGACGAAUCGCGUAAGUUGGUAUGUGAGUUUUUAUAACGGACGCUAACCUACUUAGAAAGUGUUUGGUUUUUCAAAAGGAGCGGCUGUUUAGUUAAAACAUUAAUGUGAAACCUGCGGAAGAUACAUUUCGCUCUCCCGAGUGGUUACCAAGGUUUUAGACAUAUGAGACAGAAGGUGAACUAAUUAUAUUGAAUCUAAUCAAAUUAUUCUUUCGAUAGCUCUUCAGAA